CCGCAGCUCAGCUCUGGAAGGCACAUGAGCAGGACUGGGGCUUGUGAUUGCUCAAGCAGGGACAUGCCCCUUAAACUAAUGAAAACCCUCUCCAGUAUGUAGGGUCAGAGAAUUGUAUCCAAUUUGGGCUGGACUUUACCUGAGGUGUCCGAGUUCCCUAGGUUCUCCUCCAUAAGCCGCACACUUCUUUUCUGAAGCCCAUCUACAUGGGGUGUGGUUUUUCAGAGUCAGGACACACAACUCUGCCUUUGCGGUGGUACUUGCUUUGGGUUUUCCUUCAGUAUCUUGUAUAUCAUAUUCGUUGCUACAGAUGCAUUUUGUUUACUUGUUUGUUUGUUUGUAUUUUCUCUCAGAAGCACAUUAUAGAGAAUGCUGGCUCCUUG